AUGAUGCGGCUUCCAAAUCGACGAUCGACUCCGUUAGAUUUGAUCUACACUAUUAAAAGUAUUUGGAAACUAAAUUUCAUAAUUUUUCGGUAUCAUUUACAUAUCAAACGAAUAGUCUAAAAAUGAACGGCUGAAAAUAAAAAUCUCAUAAAAAAUAAUGAUAGAAGACUUGAAUUUAAGAUCAGAGGUACUUACCUUACUCUAAAUAGUAAAAAAAAUUUUCUAUAAAAAUUUCAUCUGAUUUGGAUUGUUUUACACCGUGAAAUUCACAAACGCAUCACAUCUACCAUUAAAAUUGUUAAUUUUGAGACCUUUUGAUCACUAACCAAAUAAUGUCGAAAAAUUAUGAAAUUUAGUUUCCAAAUACUUUUAAUAGUGUAUAUCAAGUCUAACGGAGCCGAUCAUCGAUUUGGAAGCCGCAUCAUCGAAACAACUUGGUAGCACAGAGGCCUCCGUGCUACCAAUAGUAUACCAGCCUAGCUCUAUAUAUAUAUAUAUAUAUAUAUAGUAGAGCUACUAUUAUAACUCAGUGGGGACCACUUAACCUUAGGGGGGACCACUCAACCCUAAAGGACUAAUAUCAUCUUAAUCCUACAAUUUUUCAUCCAAUGGCUAAAAACUUGAUAACGAAAAAGAUCUUUUGCUAUCAAUAGUAUUCUACUCUAGCAUAUAGAGAGAAAGUCUGGCUACUAUACUAUUAAUAGCGCCAAACUAUCACGCCCCGGAUUACUAAUUUUUCCGGGCUCGCUAACAGAGCCGCCGUAUGCAUAGGUAUUUCUCCUAUAUAUGAAGCGAAAAAGUAGAAUUACCUGUAAUCAUACAAUACUACAAACAGUAGUAUAGAGCAGCUAGGAAAAUAAACCAACUAUAUAUAAACUGU
rnacentral:lncRNA from 1 species